rnacentral:rRNA from 1 species
AAGACAUGAAGUCAGGUCAGCAAACCCGCUGAAUUUAAGCAUAUAAGUAAGCGGAGGAAAAGAAACUAAAUAGGAUUCCCUCAGUAAUGGCGAAUGAACAGGGAUGAGCUCAGUAUGGAAAUUGGGGCCUGUGGCCUUGAAUUGUAGUCUGGAGAUGUACUACCAACUGGGGCGCAGAUGUAAGCCUCUUGGAAAAGAGCAUCAAUGAGGGUGAGAGUCCCGCAUGGCAUCUGCAGUCCCCAGUGCACGGUGUACCUUCUAAGAGUCACGUUCCUCGGGAUUGGAGCGCAAAUCGGGUGGUAAAUUUCAUCUAAAGCUAAAUAUAGUUUCGAGACCGAUAGCAAACAAGUACCAUGAGGGAAAGGUGAAAAGGACUUUGAAAAGAGAGUUAAAAGUGCCUGAAAUUGCUGAAAGGGAAGCGAAUGGAACCAGCUUAACUUGGCGAGAUUGCUGCGUGUCAAUGUGAUUGCUUGCUGCUUCAACGUAAGUGUGGUAGUAAGUCUUGAGCAGGACAUGCGCGGUGCUUCUUGCCUUGUGUGUCACUGUCAGUUCGCAACUGAGGAAAACUUCAGAGACAUGGUAGCCUGUCCCCGGGUGGGUGAAUGUGUCUGUUGGAACUCAUUUGUGGACUACCUGCUGACUAAAUGGUUUCAUCCGACCCGUCUUGAAACAC